rnacentral:rRNA from 1 species
UGGGGAAUCUUGCGCAAUGGGCGAAAGCCUGACGCAGCGACGCCGCGUGGGUGAUGAAGGCCUUCGGGUCGUAAAGCCCUUUCGACCGGGAAGAACGACCCGCGGUGAACAGCCGUGGGGAGUGACGGUACCGGAAGAAGAAGCACCGGCUAACUACGUGCCAGCAGCCGCGGUAAUACGUAGGGCGCGAGCGUUGUCCGGAAUUAUUGGGCGUAAAGAGCUCGUAGGCGGCUUGUCACGUCGGAUGUGAAAGCCCGGGGCUUAACCCCGGGUCUGCAUUCGAUACGGGCUAGCUAGAGUGUGGUAGGGGAGAUCGGAAUUCCUGGUGUAGCGGUGAAAUGCGCAGAUAUCAGGAGGAACACCGGUGGCGAAGGCGGAUCUCUGGGCCAUUACUGACGCUGAGGAGCGAAAGCGUGGGGAGCGAACAGGAUUAGAUACC